AUGAAGGUUCUUACUACACCCCAUCCUCCCUUCCUUCCUUUCUCCUAACGGAACCCUAAAGCGUCCUCCUGUUGACUACAUUUCCUCAGUGACGUAGGAGUCUACGUACAUAAUCCAUUUAGGUGAUGCUUUUCGAUGAAUGAGUGCCCCCUCCCAUCCCCAUCACUAGUACUAUGGCUUGUCUAUAAAAACAGAACGCGGGGAGAGCCCACUUAUUUUCACCGGUAGGCUAUCCACGAUGCAAGGGGGCAAUGCAUGUGGAUCAAACAGAGAAGCUUUCACCUAUUACAGAUUAUCUGAAUUUCUGAUAUUCAUAAUGAUGAUGCAAUGCCUAUGGUUUUUAACUAAUGCAGUUACAUUUCAAUUGGUGAGCUACGAUCAGAAAGAGAAGCAUAGUUUUCACUAGAAUUUGGGUCUGUUUCUACACAACAUGGCAUGACAAUGCCCCCUUGCAGAAAAGCGAGAUCCAUACAGAAAUGGUUUGUCGAGAUCGGUAUGGAAGAACUUGACUGGCCUGCACAGAGCCCUGACCUCAACCCCAUUGAACACCUUUGGGAUGAAUUGGAAUGCUGACUGCGAGCCAGGCCUAGUUGCCCAACAUCAGAGCCCGACCUCACUAAUGCUCUUGUGGCUGACUGGAAGCAAAUCCUUGCAGCAAUGUUCCAACAUCUAGUGGAAAGCCUUCCAAGAAGAGUGGAGGCUGUUAUAGCAGCUAGGGCGGGGACCAUCUCCAUAUUAAUGCCCGCUAUUUUGGAAUGAGAUGUUCGAUGAGCAGGUGUCCACAUACUUUUGGUCAUUUAGUGUAUCUUCAAUACAUGACAACUUAUGACACUGUGGGUGCAUCCCAAAUGGCCCUCUAUGGGCCCUGCCCCUGGUCAAAAGGAGUGCACUAUAGGAAUAUGGUGCCAUUUGGGAUGCAGCCUGUAACAAAGUGAAUGGCAGUAGCCUGAAUGCCAGUAGUGUCUUCUUACCAGUCCUGAGAUAGGCUGACCUUUCAUCAGACUGAGGGGCACGACAACCACAUGGCAGAAAUGCUGGCUACUAGGGAUUCCCUGUGUGGACUCUCCAUACUUCACCUAGGGGUUGUGUAUGUGUGUGCGUGUGCAUAAAUGCAGGGAAAAUCAUUCUCCAAUGAUUAUUAUUACUAAGGCACUGCACCAGUUUACACUAUGUCAUGUCAGCACUUCAAUAAUGCCCUGAAGACACAGUUUGUCACUAAGGAGAUUAAGUGUGAAAGAGAGUGUGAGGAAAUGAUUGAAUUAAAGAGAAACUAUGAGAGAAGAAGAA